AUUAUUUCAUCAUGCUUACUAACUUGGCUCUUCAUGUUUUCCCUUUCUUUUAAUUUCUUCCUUUACUGCUUUUUCAAUACCGUUGUAACUUUUUGAGUAUUUACUGUAAUCUUCUACUGUAUGAAAGUGAAAAUACAUGCAAUUUGCUUCAUUUUUGUAGUUGCAUCUUCAAAAUCAUAAUUCACUCGUGCCAAAACAAAUCAUAUAAUAUAAUGAGUGGUUGCGCCCUUCCAAUAUUAUAACCCCCUAAAUGUGGCAAAGGCACAUGUGCGGUAAAACCAGUCGAUCAAUGGUGUAG
rnacentral:lncRNA from 1 species